UACAGAGGGGGGCAAGCGUUAUUCGGAAUUAUUGGGCGUAAAGGGCGCGUAGGCGGCCUGACAAGUGGAAGGUGAAAUCCCUCGGCUCAACUGAGGAACUGCCCUCCAAACUGUUUGGCUUGAGACCGGGAGAGGUGAGUGGAAUUCCUGGUGUAGCGGUGAAAUGCGCAGAUAUCAGGAGGAACACCAAUGGCGAAGGCAGCUCGCUGGAACGGUACUGACGCUGAGGCGCGAAAGCGUGGGAGCGAACAGG
rnacentral:rRNA from 1 species